UACAGAGGGUGCGAGCGUUGUCCGGAAUCACUGGGCGUAAAGGGCGCGUAGGUGGCUUGCCAAGCGUGUGGUGAAAGCCCGGAGCUCAACUCCGGGUCUGCCAUGCGAACUGGCAGGCUUGAGCACGGUAGAGGCCAAUGGAAUUCCGGGUGUAGCGGUGGAAUGCGUAGAGAUCCGGAAGAACACCAGUGGCGAAGGCGGUCUGCUGGGCCGUUGCUGACGCUGAGGCGCGACAGCGUGGGGAGCAAACAGG
rnacentral:rRNA from 1 species